CUGGAACUGGCCAAGCAGCACAGCCUGCAGCUGGAUGUGUGGGGUUCCUGAAAUGGAAGAUAACCUCUGCCUCAGCUAAACUGAAAUAUGUUUAAAAGAAUAAUCUGUAUCCAACAUUAACUUAACAGUUAUCACUUUGAUUGAAAGAAAACCAGUGGUUUCCAUUUCAAGGGCUUUUGGAGAAAGGGAGAAGCUGGCAAGGCAGUGAAUGGCAAGAUUAGUGCGACAUCAGAUCUCAUCUGUUAAAUGCUACAUCUGAGCUGUUGAAUAGCCCAUUGCUCAGCUUCUCAUGAACAUUUUUUCAAUUCCAAGUUGCUGAGUGAACAAAGCAUGAACCGGCCGCUCACUGCUGGGACUUCCUCCAGAGGCGCUUGAGGUCCUAAGAAAAAUGAGUCGGAUGGUCUCAGCAAGCCCACCCUAGUGAACCAACAGCCCUGAUCAAGUGCAGAGACAGGCUCCAUGCAUCUCCUCCUGAUGGAGCUGGCAGAGAAAAUCGGACACUGGGACAAACAACCAUAAAUCAGGACUGUCCUGAUUAAAUCAGCCAUGGCUGGCAAGUGGUGACAUACAGCAGCAAGCGCCAAUGGUAACAUCACUUUCCAGCAAGCAAUUAGAAAAUCCAAGGACCUUUCCUUUUUCAUUGUCAAGCAAGCAAGCAAGUAAUGCUCUUCCCAAACCCUGAAAGAAACUAACCAAACACAAAACAAAAACCAUAAAACCCCACAAGCUAAGCGAACCAAAAAACCACCAAAUCCCCAAAACAGAAUAUUUUUCAUUUUAGCUUCACAAAUGUUAUUUUUCCCCCUCCAACGUUACUCAAAAGCAAAUGCAUUGACCAGAUGGGAAAAGUGAGGUACAGAAAGGAAGAAGAAGAAGAAGAAAAAAGAAUGCUGUGAAUGAAUCUCAUCUUACAAAUUAUCAGUGCAGAUGCAUUUAUCAAUUGGGAACACUGAAAAAUAAUGUGACGUAAAUCAGGAACAAAUGCCAGCUUUUCGAAGUUUUUCUAAAUCUGUAAUGGAGCAACUUCUAAAAUGUAAGUUUUGUGAUGUGUAGAUCCCCAUAUUCACUAUAUGUUACAACAUGGAUGAGGCAUUUUCAAUUUAGUAAAUAAACGAAACAGUGGCUACUUUUUUGAGAAUGUUUUGUGUCACGGUACUAAUUCCCUAUCCAUUUGAUAAGGAUGCAAUGAUUUCACGACAGUGUCAGUGCAGGUCUAUGGAAAAGACAUUAUGGUGUCAAAAUGAAAUGAAACAAUGUUAAUUUGUCUAUGGAAACUGCGUUAUGCUGCCAAAUUGAAACAGAACCCUUAACUCAGCCUCCUUGAGACUUGGCACAGCAGUCCCAUCAGAGGACCCCACGAUACAAGGUGAUUUUUACAGCAGCACACUGGGAAACUACAGAUCUGGGUUAAAUAUUACAUGAGAUUAGGCUAUUUCUUUUUUCAGCAGACUCGCAACUGUAUAGCAUUUCCUAAUAUGCUGCAAUGACUCCAAAAUGGGAAGAGACUGGGGGUCUCUUAAAUAGCAUUCUGGCAGCUUACCUCAGACUCCUUUUUGGUUUUUAGUGGUUGGCAGCCCCUCUCCUCCGUAACAUUCUAUUGCUGCAUGCUUUUGGGUGUGAAACGUUAUUAAGUUUUACAAUGUCCACGGCACCUAACCAACAUCUGGGACAUCUGAGCUCAAAUGAAACAAUGUUCUAAAUCUAAUUUCGAUUUGGACACCAGAACAAAACAUUUCUAGUACAACUAGAAUUUGAAUAUGAAGCACGGAGCUAGGGAAUACAAUAGUAAAAAAAGAAUGGCAAACACUCUGAAAUCAAAACACAGAAUCUG